rnacentral:miRNA from 1 species
UCUGUUGUGCAGGGCUGUGCU